GGAGAGGUGCUCGAGUGGUUGAAGAGGCACGCCUGGAAAGCUUGUAUACGCCUAAAGCGUAUCGGGGGUUCGAAUCCCCCUCUCUCCGCAA
rnacentral:tRNA from 1 species